rnacentral:snRNA from 1 species
UGACCCAGUUACAAAAAGGGAAA